AUAAUACUCCCUCCAUCCAGAAUUACUUGUCAUCAAAAUGGAUGUGUCUAGAACUAAAAUACAUCUAGAUACAUCCAUUUCAAUGACAAGUAUUUUCAGACGAAGGGAGUAGUAG
rnacentral:pre_miRNA from 1 species